rnacentral:rRNA from 1 species
ACGAACGCUGGCGGCAGGCUUAACACAUGCAAGUCGAACGCCCCGCAAGGGGAGUGGCAGACGGGUGAGUAACGCGUGGGAACAUACCCUUUCCUGCGGAAUAGCUCUGGGAAACUGGAAUUAAUACCGCAUACGCCCUACGGGGGAAAGAUUUAUCGGGGAAGGAUUGGCCCGCGUUGGAUUAGCUAGUUGGUGGGGUAAAGGCCUACCAAGGCGACGAUCCAUAGCUGGUCUGAGAGGAUGAUCAGCCACAUUGGGACUGAGACACGGCCCAAACUCCUACGGGAGGCAGCAGUGGGGAAUAUUGGACAAUGGGCGCAAGCCUGAUCCAGCCAUGCCGCGUGAGUGAUGAAGGCCUUAGGGUUGUAAAGCUCUUUCACCGGAGAAGAUAAUGACGGUAUCCGGAGAAGAAGCCCCGGCUAACUUCGU